AAGAGCGGGUGCUAAUAUAUUUUGAGUUAUGAGACUAUACCGUCUUUACAAAACUCAAUGUAUUGUUUAUUCUUCAGAAAUAUAACCAUAGUCGUGUAUCUAUCAUGUGAUUAGUUAAAAAUUAUAUGAGUUGUAAUUUCAAUAAUAAUUUUUAUAAUGCACGGUAUUCUAAUGAACAUUUAAACUGCAUUGGAAAAUUCCCAAAGAGUAUAACAGUUAAGUGAUAGUUUUGAAGUAACUCUCAUUGAUUAUGAAGUUGAGUGUGAAUUUUUAUAAUUAAAGAUAUUUAUGUCAAUGAAGAUAAAAAAACUAAAGUAAAUGUUACAGUUUAUCCAAAACAAUUUUUUAUAUGAUUCUACCGAAUUUUUGAUAAAUGAAAAAGAAGCUUAGUAGAUGUUCGAAGGUCAUAUAAAAAAACCGGUCGAUUCAAGGCAGACUAUAAAACAAGCAGGAAAGGUGAUGCCUGCUUACCUAUUCAGCGAGUCCUCAAUCUAUUAUGAUAUAUUCUAAUGGAAACUGAGGAAAAAUCUGAUAUAAUAGUAAAAAAGGCUAAUGGAACAAUGAAAAAGGGAGAAGGUAUGAAGUGGAUAGAAGUUUCUAGUUCCGGUGGCAGUAGCAGUGCCAGUAGCAGUUCUGGUGAAGAAAGUACCAAUACUGAAAGUAAAAUUAGUAGUGAUAAACAUGGUGAUA